GACAGAGGGUGCAAACGUUGUUCGGAAUUACUGGGCGUAAAGCGCGUGUAGGCGGCUUGGCAAGUCGGGUGUGAAAGCCCUGGGCUCAACCUAGGAAGUGCACUCGAAACUGCCUCGCUUGAAUGCCGGAGAGGAAAGCGGAAUUCUCGGUGUAGAGGUGAAAUUCGUAGAUAUCUGGAGGAACACCGGUGGCGAAGGCGGCAUCCUGGACCGGUAUUGACGCUGAGGCGCGGAAGCCAGGGGAGCAAACGGG
rnacentral:rRNA from 1 species